rnacentral:tRNA from 1 species
UAUGGCUCAGUGGUAGAGCGCAUGCUCAGGAUGCAUGAGGUCCUGGAUUCAAUCCCCAGUA